AUCAACUUUCGAUGGUAGGAUAGAGGCCUACCAUGGUGGUAACGGGUAACGGGGUGUUAGGGCACGACACCGGAGAGGGAGCCUGAGAAACGGCUACCACAUCCAAGGAUGGCAGCAGGCGCGCAAAUUACCCAAUCCCGACACGGGGAGGUAGUGACAAUAAAUAACAAUACGGGGUUCUUUCGGAUCUCGUAAUUGGAAUGAGUACAAUUUAAAUCUCUUAACGAGGAACAAUUGGAGGGCAAGUCUGGUGCCAGCAGCCGCGGUAAUUCCAGCUCCAAUAGCGUAUAUUAAAGUUGUUGCAGUUAAAAAGCUCGUAGUUGAAUUUCGGGGUCAGUAGGUUGGUCGUGCCACUGGUACGUACUGGUCUCACUGAUUCCUCCUUCCUGAUGAACCGUAAUGCCAUUAAUUUGGUGUUGCGGGGAAACUGGACUGUUACUUUGAAAAAAUUAGAGUGUUUAAAGCAGGCUAACGCUUGAAUACAUUAGCAUGGAAUAAUGAAAUAGGACGUUCGAUCCUAUUUUGUUGGUUUCUAGGAUUGACGUAAUGAUUAAUAGGGAUAGUUGGGGGCAUUAGUAUUCAAUUGUCAGAGGUGAAAUUCUUGGAUUUAUUGAAGACUAACUACUGCGAAAGCAUUUGCCAAGGAUGUUUUCAUUAAUCAAGAACGAAAGUUAGGGGAUCGAAGACGAUCAGAUACCGUCGUAGUCUUAACCAUAAACUAUGCCGACUANGGAUCGGAUGAUGUUANUUUUUAAUGACUCAUUCGGCGCCNUUACNGGNAAACCAAAGUGUUUGGGU
rnacentral:rRNA from 1 species